AUGGCUGGGCAAAGGGAGACAGGAAUUGUGUGGGCUAGGGCACUGGAAAGAGGAUAAGAGACAGAAAAUCGCCAUGACUCAGGGAAGAAGGAUGGGACGUAGGAGCUACAGGAGGGAAAGCCAACCAGUCAUGUGAGAAUGUGGUGUGAGGAGGCUGAAAGGAAGGAAGAAACAGCGUAGAAAAGGAUGGAAGAAAGAAGGACCCCAAAACUAGCAAACUACAGCUACAGUACACCUAUAAUCCCAGCACUGGAAGGUGCACUGAGAACACGAGGAAGCUCAACAGAUCAACAUCACACCUACUACUACAACAACUUGCCCACGCCUUUGUUCUCUCAUCAUUCUGAAUUCUGGACCAGAGUCCAGGAGGGGACCUGACUGCCAAAGCUGACUCAAGGACCCUGAAACCAGGUGACCAGGGUUGAGAUUCAGAUCCUGCAAACCGGCCGCCUCCCUGUGUCACAGAAAAUAAAGCUUUUAUUUUUAAGCUUC